GUUCAUGUAUGGAUUGAAGCUGGCAAGAUAUCAUGGGAGUUUUAGUUUGACAACAGUUUCAGGAGAAUGGGAGGAAGUGACAGCCGUGAGUCACUUCCUCCCAGAGAAUACAGAGCCGCACGGGAGGGAGGACCAGUGAGUGGGGAAGGGGGUUGGAAAGCUAUUCAUCAACAACCUCAGGCACCACACAGGACCCCAGGGAAUUCAUCC